GCCAGAUGCGGUGGUGCAUGCCUAUAGUCCCAGCUAUCCAGGAGGCUGAGGUGGGAGCACUGCUUAGCCCAGGAGUUCUUGGCUGUAAUAUGCAUGCCAGUCAGGUGUCUGCACUAUGUUUGGCAUCAGUAUAGUGACCUCCUGGGAGCGUGGGACCACCAGGUUGCCUAAGGAGGGGUGAACUAUCCCAGGCUGGAAAUGAAGCAGGUAAAAACUCCUGUGCUAGUUAGCAGUGGGAUUGUGCCUGUGAAAAGUCACUGCACUCCAACCUGGGCAACACAGUGAGACCCCGUCUCU
rnacentral:SRP_RNA from 10 species